GCGUAAAGCGCACGCAGGCGGUCUGUCAAGUCGGAUGUGAAAUCCCCGGGCUCAACCUGGGAACUGCAUUCGAAACUGGCAGGCUAGAGUCCUGUAGAGGGGGGUAGAAUUCCAGGUGUAGCGGUGAAAUGCGUAGAGAUCUGGAGGAAUACCGGUGGCGAAGGCGCCCCCCUGGACAAAGACUGACGCUCAGGUGCGAAAGCGUGGGGAGCAAACAGGAUUAGAUACCCUGGUAGUCCACGCCGUAAACGAUGUCGACUUGGAGGUUGUGCCCUUGAGGCGUGGCUUCCGGAGCUAACGCGUUAAGUCGACCGCCUGGGGAGUACGGCCGCAAGGUUAAAACUCAAAUGAAUUGACGGGGGCCCGCACAAGCGGUGGAGCAUGUGGUUUAAUUCGAUGCAACGCGAAGAACCUUACCUACUCUUGACAUCGGGAGAACUUUCCAGAGAUGGAUUGGUGCCUUCGGGAACUCUGAGACAGGUGCUGCAUGGCUGUCGUCAGCUCGUGUUGUGAAAUGUUGGGUUAAGUCCCGCAACGAGCGCAACCCUUAUCCUUUGUUGCCAGCGGUUAGGCCGGGAACUCAAAGGAGACUGCCAGUGAUAAACUGGAGGAAGGUGGCGAUGACGUCAAGUCAUCAUGGCCCUUACGAGUAGGGCUACACACGUGCUACAAUGGCGCAUACAAAG
rnacentral:rRNA from 1 species